ACCUAUUUUGCAUGCAAAUUACAUGAAUACCUUUAAAUAAAAAUCCAUAUUUUAAAUGAAAUAAUUUAUUUCUACCCAAAUCCUACCAAACUGACUCCAGAUCAGCACGUACACACAUGGACAUGGGACACGCCCACAUACACACACGCACCUAAAGCUCUCGCCGCUCUCAGUCUCCCGCGACCCGCUCGAUCCUAACUCUGGUCUGGUAGUUAGUGUAGCUAGCUACACUGGAGAAACAUGCCACCCGGUAAGUGGGCUAAAUACGGGAAGAAAUAUACGAAAGAAUGGGAAAGUGAAAACGGAAUUAAAGAAUGGAUAGAACGGGCUGGGGAUGAUACCAAAGCUUUUUGUCGGUACUGCAAAACCGAGAUUCGUGCGCACCACAGUGAUCUCCAAAACCACAGCAAAACGGGGAAACACAUUCGAAAUGCUGCUCCGUUCUCCAGUUGUCGAGCAGGGAGGAAGAGAGAAAAGGAAGAAAGCCUCAAGACAAAGCAACAGACCUGGCAACCCUGAGCUCCAGAGCCACGAGGAGGAACACGCAGCCAGAAGAGAUCCACUUGGACGGAGAGGAUUCACCAGCACCUGCAGUGCAGCCUGCAGAUCCACCUGCAGCCCCACCUGCAGCCCCACCUGCAGCUCUACCUGUCCGGCCAGCAA